rnacentral:rRNA from 1 species
UACGGGGGGGAGCAAGCGUUUGUUCGGAUUUACUGGGCGUAAAGGGCGCGUAGGCGGCCAGCACAAGUCAGUUGUGAAAUCUCCGAGCUUAACUCGGAAAGGUCAACUGAUACUGUGCGGCUAGAGUGCAGAAGGGGCAACUGGAAUUCUUGGUGUAGCGGUGAAAUGCGUAGAUAUCAAGAGGAACACCUGCGGCGAAGGCGGGUUGCUGGGCUGACACUGACGCUGAGGCGCGAAAGCUAGGGGAGCGAACGGG